UGGGGAAUUUUGGACAAUGGGCGAAAGCCUGAUCCAGCAAUGCCGCGUGUGUGAAGAAGGCCUUCGGGUUGUAAAGCACUUUUGUCCGGAAAGAAAUCCUUGGCUCUAAUACAGUCGGGGGAUGACGGUACCGGAAGAAUAAGCACCGGCUAACUACGUGCCAGCAGCCGCGGUAAUACNUAGGGUGCAAGCGUUAAUCGGAAUUACUGGGCGUAAAGCGUGCGCAGGCGGUUUGCUAAGACCGAUGUGAAAUCCCCGGGCUCAACCUGGGAACUGCAUUGGUGACUGGCAGGCUAGAGUAUGGCAGAGGGGGGUAGAAUUCCACGUGUAGCAGUGAAAUGCGUAGAGAUGUGGAGGAAUACCGAUGGCGAAGGCAGCCCCCUGGGCCAAUACUGACGCUCAUGCACGAAAGCGUGGGGAGCAAACAGGAUUAGAUACCCUGGUAGUCCACGCCCUAAACGAUGUCAACUAGUUGUUGGGGAUUCAUUUCCUUAGUAACGUAGCUAACGCGUGAAGUCGACCGCCUGGGGAGUACGGUCGCAAGAUUAAAACUCAAAUGAAUUGACGGGG
rnacentral:rRNA from 1 species